AGGAUCCGAGCGUUAUCCGGAUUUAUUGGGUUUAAAGGGUGCGUAGGCGGCUUCAUAAGUCAGGGGUGAAAUUCGGCAGCUCAACUGUCGGCGUGCCUUUGAUACUGUGGAGCUUGAAUAAGUUCGAAGGAGGCGGAAUGGGACAAGUAGCGGUGAAAUGCAUAGAUAUGUUCCGGAACCCCGAUUGCGAAGGCAGCUUUCUAGGCCUUUAUUGACGCUGAUGCACGAAAGCGUGGGGAUCGA
rnacentral:rRNA from 1 species